rnacentral:rRNA from 1 species
GACGAACGCUGGCGGCGUGCUUAACACAUGCAAGUCGAACGGAAAGGCUCCAGCUUGCUGGAGUGCUCGAGUGGCGAACGGGUGAGUAACACGUGGGCAAUCUGCCCUGCACUCUGGGAUAAGCCUGGGAAACUGGGUCUAAUACCGGAUAGGACCUUUCUCCUCAUGGGGUUUGGUGGAAAGUUUUUCGGUGCAGGAUGAGCCCGCGGCCUAUCAGCUUGUUGGUGGGGUAAUGGCCUACCAAGGCGACGACGGGUAGCCGGCCUGAGAGGGUGAUCGGCGACAUUGGGACUGAGAUACGGCCCAGACUCCUACGGGAGGCAGCAGUGGGGAAUAUUGCACAAUGGGCGAAAGCCUGAUGCAGCGACGCCGCGUGAGGGAUGACGGCCUUCGGGUUGUAAACCUCUUUCAGUAGGGACGAAGCGCAAGUGACGGUACCUGCAGAAGAAGCACCGGCUAACUACGUG